rnacentral:rRNA from 1 species
UCGAACGAGAGAGUGGAGCAAUCCAUGAGUAAAGUGGCGUACGGGUGAGUAACACGUGGGUAAUCUACCUCUUGGAGGGGAAUAACCCUGGGAAACCGGGGCUAAUACCGCAUAAGCCUGGAAAGGGAAAGGUGAAAAUCGCCGAGAGAGGAGCCCGCGGCUGAUUAGCUAGUUGGUGGGGUAAAGGCCUACCAAGGCGACGAUCGGUAGCCGGCCUGAGAGGGCACACGGCCACACUGGCACUGAAACACGGGCCAGACUCCUACGGGAGGCAGCAGUGGGGAAUCUUGCACAAUGGGGGCAACCCUGAUGCAGCGACGCCGCGUGAGCGAUGAAGCCCUUCGGGGUGUAAAGCUCUUUCGACCGGAACGAUAAUGACGGUACCGGGAGAAGAAGCUGCGGCUAACUACGUGCCAGCAGCCGCGGUAAUACGUAGGCAGCGAGCGUUG